AUUGAACGCUGGCGGCAGGCCUAACACAUGCAAGUCGAGCGAGCGGCGGACGGGUGAGUAAUGUAUGGGGACUGCCCGAUGGAGGGGGAUAACUACUGGAAACGGUAGCUAAUACCGCAUACUAUCGGAUUACCCAGAUGGGAUUAGCUAGUAGGUGAGGUAAUGGCUCACCUAGGCGACGAUCCCUAGCUGGUCUGAGAGGAUGACCAGCCACACUGGGACUGAGACACGGCCCAGACUCCUACGGAGGCAGCAGUGGGGAAUAUUGCACAAUGGGCGCAAGCCUGAUGCAGCCAUGCCGCGUGUAUGAAGAAGGCCUUAGGGUUGUAAAGUACUUUUGGCAGAGAAGCGGUAUCUGCAGAAGAAGCACCGGCUAACUACGUGCCAGCAGCCGCGGUAAGUC
rnacentral:rRNA from 1 species